AGAUAACUUGCAUAAAUCACACAAGCUGUGAUGGGCUUUUACAUUUUUUUCUGAAGGUGGAAGAAAAAUUUUCCCCUUUAACCUGUUGUGUGGCUUUCUGUGAGAUUCAUCAGUGCACAAGAGGAUGGUGAGGAAGAAAGCAGGAGGAAAAUCUGCUUGAAAAGUUGCCUUCCUAAAUUAAGUGGGAUAAAGAGGUGACCUGAAUUUGUUUGCUUGUUUUUAAAUAAAGAACUCAUGAAAUCUUAAAAAGCA
rnacentral:lncRNA from 1 species